CCGAAAUCUGUGCCGGAACCAAGCGGCAUCCAACAUUUGUCACAGCCAUGCUCACCGCCACGGACCGUAAACCCCUGAACGUGUCAGCAGUACUGUAGCUAGUGGCAUCAGCUACUGCUGUAAACGCACAGUUCAGGAGAUUGGGGUCGGUGGCGGUGAACAUGGCUGUGACAAAUGUUGGAUGCCGUUUGGUUCCGGCGCAGAUUUCGG
rnacentral:pre_miRNA from 1 species